CCUACGGGUGGCAGCAGUGGGGAAUAUUGCACAAUGGGGGAAACCCUGAUGCAGCGACGCCGCGUGAGUGAAGAAGUAAUUCGUUAUGUAAAGCUCUAUCAGCAGGGAAGAAAAUGACGGUACCUGAGUAAGAAGCCCCGGCUAACUACGUGCCAGCAGCCGCGGUAAUACGUAGGGGGCAAGCGUUAUCCGGAUUUACUGGGUGUAAAGGGAGCGUAGACGGCAAUACAAGUCGGAAGUGAAAUACCCGGGCUCAACCUGGGAACUGCUUUGGAAACUGUAUGGCUGGAGUGCUGGAGAGGUAAGCGGAAUUCCUAGUGUAGCGGUGAAAUGCGUAGAUAUUAGGAGGAACACCAGUGGCGAAGGCGGCUUACUGGACAGUAACUGACGUUGAGGCUCGAAAGCGUGGGGAGCAAACAGGAUUAGAUACCCCUGUAGUC
rnacentral:rRNA from 1 species